rnacentral:RNase_P_RNA from 18 species
GGGGUUGGCCGGGCAGUCGCCGUCUUGUUGUUGUGCCUUCGGGUAGACAAACAGGAGGGAGGAAAGUCCGGGCUCCACAGGGCAGGGUGCCAGGUAACGCCUGGGAGGCGUAAGCCUACGACCAGUGCAACAGAGAGCAAACCGCCGAUGGCCCGCAAGGGAUCAGGUAAGGGUGAAAGGGUGCGGUAAGAGCGCACCGCGCGACUGGCAACAGUUCGUGGCACGGUAAACUCCACCCGGAGCAAGACCAAAUAGGCUUCCAUGUCGCGGCCCGCGUCGGAAGCGGGUAGGUUGCUUGAGCCUGCGAGCGAUUUCAGGCCUAGAGGAAUGGCUGCCACCGCGCAAGCGGAACAGAACCCGGCUUACAGGCCAACCCCACUA